UGUUAUUAUGAACGCAGUCUCCAAACUUUUUAAUCAUUCAUCAAUUUUAAUGAAUGGCUAGGACGAGAGAAAAGAAAAAUUAGACAAAAUUAAAAAAGAAAAAAAAUUGAGACAUUCAAUUUCUUCUAAAUCUUUUUUCUCUCUUAUCCUAAUCGUCCAUCAAAAUUGAUGAAUAAUUAAGAAGUUAAGAGUACAAGAGUUAUUGUACUCCUAAUAACACAAUAGUCCUACUAUUUAUUAUAGUACACAAUAAUAGUUUGACUGAUGACAUAACACAUCAUUUUCACAUGCUGACUUAUUAAAAUUUAAAAUUUAUUUAGUAUUGAAAUCUAUCUAACGCUAAUAGAUAAAAUAAAGUCAGAACGGAGUAUAUAGGGAUAUGCUACAGUAGUCUCUUACUCAUUUCAAUAAGUAAAACGCAAUAUUACUUACGAAAAUAUUAUAAAAUUUUAUUCCAAUAAUUUAUAAAAUGAAAACUAAAAAUCAUAAUAAAUUAAAAUUUAAGUAUUAAAAUAUUAGGUUAAUUUCAUAUAGGUCCCUACAAAUAUAGUGAAUAACAAAUAAAAUUCAAUUUUUAUAUGUUGUCCAUGUAAAUCAUGAUAUUUUCAAAUAUAUUCCUACUGUUAGAAUCCGUUAUAAAAUUUUAGUUAACCAUAGGUUAAAUAUUUAGUCUUGCUUAGUUUUUAAUGUUUUUAUCCCUUUCAUUUUAUACUGAUAUGACUUUUGGAAGAACAUAUUUAUGAUGACAAAAUUGAAAAUAUAAAUUGUCUCUAACAGUUCUCAAACGGUAACAAACUAAAGCUCCAUUUGGGAUUGCGGGAAGAUUGCAUUACGUGCGGUGAAAAACGACGAUGGAAAAUACCCUAUUUGUUUUCGUACGUAAUAUUGCGUUCCGCAUAUUACAGUUAGUCGGUUACGAUAUAUUUUCUGCGGUCCCAUCGGAGAAUGCAGAAGCACAUCCCUAUAUGCUUUUUCUCAACUCUAUUCUAUCUAAUAGCGUUAGAUCCAUCUCAAUACCAAACUAAGCCUAAAGGGACAUAUUUGAAAAUAUUAGAAUUUUUAUAGAAAUAAUAUAUAAAAGUUGAAUUUUGUAGUGAUAUAUUUAUCAUUUACUAUAUUUAUAUGAACAUACAUGAUUGUUUUUUUUUUUUUUGAGAGAGAUACGUAGCAUGCUAUCCGUUUCAUUUAUUUUAUUUAAAAAUAAACUUAGCUCGAAAUGUAAAUCAAUUAGGAUUUGAACUUAGGUCUCAGGUACCAACCACCAAACCCUUUACCUCUUGCUCUAUGGACGGUCGGAAACAUAUAUGAAAUUAAUGCUAAAAUAUUAUACUUAGGCUUCAUUUGAGACCGGGUUCCGUAUAUCACGACGAGUCGAUCAUAAUAUAUUUUCUGCGGUUCCAACAGAGAACACAAAAAUAUAUCUCUAUAUAUUUUAUAUUCCAACUCUAUUUUAUCUAAUAGCGUCAGACAGACCUUAAUACCAAACUAACCUUUAUUGUAGUCUGAGAAGGGAAAGCGUAAUUUAGCCUAAUUAAUUAUAUAUAUAUAUAUAUACAUACGUGUUAGGAGCUCAAGAUGCGAAGUGGUGAGGCGUCGAGGUGUUGUUGUUUUCGGCGGUGAGCUGUCCUGGGCAACGUCAACACCCCUCUCGUGGAAGGAGAUGGCGACACCCACCCUUGGUUUUGGAAAAAAUUCUAAAAUGCAACGGGUAUAUUGAUAACGUGACGUAACAAAUUAAUCAAGUAUAUUUUUUUAGGAAUAUAUGUUUCAUCAUAAUUGUAAAAAAAUAUUUUUAUUAUACUUUUAUUUGAAAAAAAAAAAUGUGAUUGACAUGUCAUUAAUGACGUGGUGCAAAUAUGACAGUGUAGAAUUCCUCUA
rnacentral:lncRNA from 1 species